AGCUCGUAUUUUACCUUCACUGAACCAAAGCGAGAAUUUGCCACUGUGUCGUCUGCCAUUGCCUUCAACAAUUCAACACCAAUCUCCACUUUCAUUCAUUCUUGUCCAAUCUAAAAAGAGGCACACACAGCCACCUUCGGGCUCACCAUCACGUUGUAGAACAUUAGAGUAAGGGGGUAGUGC
rnacentral:sRNA from 1 species